UACGUAGGGGGCAAGCGUUAUCCGGAUUUACUGGGUGUAAAGGGAGCGCAGACGGAAGAUCAAGUCUGAUGUGAAAUGUUGGGGCUCAACCCCGAAGCUGCAUUGGAAACUGGUCAUCUAGAGUGCAGGAGAGGUAAGUGGAAUUCCUAGUGUAGCGGUGAAAUGCGUAGAUAUUAGGAGGAACACCGGUGGCGAAGGCGGCUUACUGGACUGUAACUGACGUUGAGGCUCGAAAGCGUGGGGAGCGAAC
rnacentral:rRNA from 1 species